rnacentral:rRNA from 1 species
UCAGGAUGAACGCUGGCGGCGUGCCUAACACAUGCAAGUCGAACGGUUAACCCACCUCCGGGUGGUCGAUAAAGUGGCGAACGGGUGAGUAACACGUGACCAACCUGCCCCGCGCUCCGGGACAGCCUCGCGAAAGCGGGAUUAAUACCGGAUGCGCCGGCCGGGCCGCAUGGCCCGGCCGGGAAAGCCCAGGCGGCGCGGGAUGGGGUCGCGGCCCAUCAGGUAGUAGGUCGGGUGGAGGCCGACCUAGCCGACGACGGGUAGCCGGGUUGAGAGACCGACGGCCACAUUGGACUGAGAUACGGCCCAGACUCCUACGGGAGGCAGCAGUGGGGAAUAUUGCGCAAUGGGGGCAACCCUGAACCGCAGCAACGCCGCGUGCGGGAAGACGGCCCUCGGGUUGUAAACCGCUUUCAGCAGGGAAGACAUCGACGGUACCUGCAGAAGAAGCCCCGGCUAACUACGUGCCAGCAGCUGC